CCUCAGGAAGCCUUCCCUGACUGCAGCCUGGCUGUCAGCCCUGGCUGGCUCCUGCUACCCUGCUCUAGACCUCGUAGCUGUGCAUCUGGGUGGUCAGCUUGGGUGCUGCUGCUGCCUCCCGAUCAUCCCAGUGCCCAGCCCAGUACCUGAUACACAGUAGGUGCUCCAUAAAUGUUGAUUGAAUGACUGUCAUGUGUAAAGCAUAAGAACAGGCAUUCGUUUAUCCUAGUACUGAGUGCCACACUUGAAGGUCACUCCCGGGCUGGGGAUGUGGCUCAAUGGGCUGGGGAUGUGGCUCAAGCGGUAGCAUGCUUGCCUGGCAUGCGUGCGGCCCGGGUUCGAUCCCCAGCACCACAUAUAAACAAAGAUGUUGUGUCCGCUGAGAACUAAAAAAUAAAUAAAUAUUUAAAAAAAAAAAAAAAAGAAGGUCCCUCCCUUGAGCACGCCACGUUUCUGGAAUCUCCAUGAUUUCCACCUCCUUCCUAAACCCACUGAACUCCCCUCACCUCUGUUCCUCUCCCUGCCAGUCUGUGCCCUGUGCCCCUACUCCUCCCCCACCAGCCCUGCCUAGUGCCCUCACUCCAAGGUCUGUCUCCCAACAUUCCUCCUCCCCACUGCCCCUGACUCGCCUCACUUUACCCUUUUUAUAGAACACAUCCCCAGUUCAAAAGUAACUCCAGGCUGGGCACUGUGGCACACACCUGUAAUUCCAACUACUCAGAAGGCCAAGGCAGGAGGAUGGCAUGUUCAAGGCCAAACUGCAACUUAGUGAGACUCUGUCAAAAUAAGAAAUAAAAAGAAUGGGAUGUGGCUCAGUGGCUGAGCAUCUGGGGUUCAAUCAGCAGUACCACACACACAAAAAAAGUAGUGCAUGUAUCACUGAACCCAUGACACUGUGGGUUUUAAGAUGUGCUGUUAAUUUAUGGACUAGUAGGAGGAGCAGCUAAACUGAUACGUAGGUUAUAAGACACACCUGAAUUCAGAGAAGAUGCCAUUUGAAAAACUGUUCUUAUCAGAUGCUGGGAGCCAUUAGCCAAGUAGGUAUGACAAUUUCCUUGCCAGUGUACCCCAUGUUGCUUAGUGGAAGGACUCGUGGAAAUAGGACAUUUUGCAGUGACAUUGCAUGUAGGUGACCUUGCUCAAGGACCAGGGCGAAUCCAGGUUUAGGGUGUUCCCGGUUUAGGGCAUUCCAGGUUUAAGGUUAUUCCUGCUGGGAAUAGGGCGUAUCCUGCUGCCUGAGUUCCCCUUGAGUUCUCACGGGAUUCAGACAGUAUUUUUUGGGAGACAGAAGCCCAGUGGGUGUGAAUUUGGGCAGAGAACGUGGAUUUCCCCAGAACAUGAUUGUAGACGGCUGGUGUGAGUUCCGGAAUAAAGAGUUGCUGUUUGAAUCUACAA
rnacentral:lncRNA from 1 species